UGGGGGAUAUUGCACAAUGGGCGAAAGCCUGAUGCAGCGACGCCGCGUGGGGGAUGAAGGCCUUCGGGUUGUAAACUUCUUUUGCUCUGAACAAGGCGCACCAUGGGGUGUGUUGAGUGUAGGGGUUGAUUAGCGCCGGCUAACUACGUGCCAGCAGCCGCGGUAAUACGUAGGGCGCGAGCGUUGUCCGGAAUUAUUGGGCGUAAAGGGCUUGUAGGUGGCUGGUUGCGUCUGUCGUGAAAGCUCACGGCUUAACUGUGGGUUUGCGGUGGGUACGGGCUGGCUUGAGUGCAGUAGGGGAGGCUGGAAUUCCUGGUGUAGCGGUGGAAUGCGCAGAUAUCAGGAGGAAUACCGGUGGCGAAGGCGGGUCUCUGGGCUGUUACUGACACUGAGGAGCGAAAGCAUGGGGAGCGAACAGG
rnacentral:rRNA from 1 species